UUUGUCUGACUGCUUAGAAUAUGACAGCAUAGUGGGCAGGAACAGUUGUACAAGAUGGACUACUGGACAGCACUGCUACUGUUAACUGUCUGCUGGGCAGGUGUUGAUGGUCAGACUCUGACAGAAUCUGAACCUGCAGUUAAAAGACCAGAAGAAUCCCACAGACUGACCUGUACAACAUCUGGAUUUAACUUUGGAGACUACUGGAUGCACUGGAUUAGACAGGCCCCUGGCAAAGGGCUGGAGUGGAUUGCUCGCAUUUCUUUUUGGGCUGGUAGCACUAUUAACUAUUCUCAGUCAGUCAGAGGCCGGUUUACCAUCUCCAGGGACAACAACAAACGGCAGCUGUAUCUGCAGAUGAACAGUCUGAAGACUGAAGAUUCUGCUGUUUAUUAUUGUGCUCGAGAGCCACAGUAACUGAAGUUGUUUAAGCAGCUGUACAAAAUCCUGCAGUCCUCAUUGUGAUACUUUUAUCUUGCAUCAUAAAUGUAGUAUAAUGCAAACAUCAUCCAUACUAAUACUAAUACAAUUAAAACUAAUCCUGCUGUAAGUCUAUUGCACUUGUCUGAGAAGUUCAUUACAUUCCUCUCACU